CCCUACUGAACUGGCCUGCAUUGUACAAAAGACUACAGACUCACUUUGAGACACAAUUUUAAGUUCAGAGAAGCACUUACUUCAUGAGUAGACUUUACAGAAUAAGGCAUCCAUCUUCCUGCAGAGGAAAUAAAAAGCACUAGUGGAAAGAACAGUAUGACCUACAAGCAAAAGGACUACCCUUGCUUUAAUUAAGAAGGAGCAGAAAGCAAUUUCUUCCUCAUUCUUAUUCAACCACAUUGAAAUGUUACCCAUGUACUGUCAUUUUUUAAACUCCUAAUGGCAUAGAGCUAACAUCUUUGAAAGAUUUACUUUUGUUUUGAAAAUAAAAAUCCAUGUAGAAGGCAGAGAGGAUGAAUAUCUGCAUGGGGACAGUGUAAAUCAAGAUUGUGUUGGCUGCAUUUGAUAGCUUGCCUUGAUGCCUUCUAACCCACCAAGCUUUGUUGCUAGGCAACCAUGGCAGCUUUUCUGAAUAUAGUUAUUAACAGGUUUAGGUUGCACUGAAAAAGAAAAAGAAAACAA